GACAGAGGAUGCAAGCGUUAUCCGGAAUGAUUGGGCGUAAAGCGUCUGUAGGUGGCUUUUUAAGUCUGCCGUUAAAUCCCAGGGCUUAACCCUGGACAGGCGGUGGAAACUACCAAGCUGGAGUACGGUAGGGGCAGGAGGGAAUUUCCGGUGGAGCGGUGAAAUGCGUAGAGAUCGGAAAGAACACCAACGGCGAAAGCACUCUGCUGGGCCGAAACUGACAUUGAGAGACGAAAGCUAGGGGAGCAAAAGGG
rnacentral:rRNA from 1 species